rnacentral:misc_RNA from 1 species
UCGAUUUCUUUUCUAAAUGAUCUCCUGCCUAAUCAGCGUCCACAUAACAAUCUAUCGUUUCACAUUUUUCAUUCCUUUUAUAAUCUAAUCUUAAUCUCUAGUCCGGUACAAAUAUUUCAAUAUUCGCAAAGCAAAUUUAAAAUGUGUCUCAUUACAACAAUCUUGAAAUCUACUCAAAUAAUUCACACUAUAACUUAUAUC